CCCAGGUUUGAAAACCUGGGCUAUUGUCAUUGCGUCCUUUCGGGACG
rnacentral:sRNA from 1 species